UGUAAGCGUAUACCAAAGUUGUUGCAGUUAAAACGCUCGUAGUCGGAAUUUGGCAGUUCCGGAUGUGUGCACGUCGUGUGCGCACUUCGCGGGGAUUGCUUUUGUGGUCUUGCGUAGGAUGAGGCACUUUUAUUAGUGAACGUCCUCACGCAACCACUUUUUACUGUGAGAAAAUCAGAGUGCUCAAAGCAGGCAUUUGCCGUGAAUGUAUUAGCAUGGAAUAAUAGAAUAGGACUUGGUUCUAUUUUGUUGGUUUGUUGGGACUGAGUAAUGGUUAAGAGGGACAGUUGGGGGCAUUUGUAUUUCGGUGCUAGAGGUGAAAUUCUUAGAUUACCGAAAGACAAACUGCUGCGAAAGCGUCUGCCAAGGAUGUUUUCACUGA
rnacentral:rRNA from 1 species